GACGAACGCUGGCGGCGUGCUUAACACAUGCAAGUCGAACGGAACGGCCCUGCCUUUGUUGUUCGCUCGGGUGUCGAACGGGUGUGUGACACGUGCGUAACCUUCCCUUGUCGUUGGGCUACCUUCUGGAAACUGGGGGUAAUACCGGACAGGAGCUCCUGCUGCAUGGUGGGGGUUGGUAAGUUGCGGCGGUGGGGGAUGGACUCGCGGCUUAUCAGCUUGUUGGUGGGGUAGUGCCUUACCAAGGCUUUGACGGGUAGCCGGCCUGAGAGGGUGAGCGGCCACAUUGGGACGGGGAUGCGGCCCAGACUCGUACGGGAGGCAGCAGUGGAGAAGAGUGCACAAUGGGCGGAAGGCAGAUGCAGCACCGCGGCGUGCGGGAUGACGGCCUUCGGGUCGUAAAGCGCUUUCGCCUGUGACGAGGCGUGAGUGACGGUAAUGGGUAAAGAAGCACCGGCGAACUACGU
rnacentral:rRNA from 1 species